UACAGAGGUCCCAAGCGUUGUUCGGAUUUACUGGGCGUAAAGGGCGCGUAGGCGGGUGCUCAAGUCUGUGGUGAAAUCCUCCGGCUCAACCGGAGAACUGCCAUGGAUACUGGGUGUCUCGAGGGUGGUAGGGGUAUGCGGAACUAUCGGUGGAGCGGUGAAAUGCGUUGAUAUCGAUAGGAACUCCGGUGGCGAAGGCGGCAUACUGGACCACUUCUGACGCUGAGGCGCGAAAGCCAGGGGAGCAAACGGG
rnacentral:rRNA from 1 species